ACGCUCGACACCUACGGGGGGCAGCAGUGGGGAAUAUUGCACAAUGGGGGAAACCCUGAUGCAGCGACGCCGCGUGAGCGAAGAAGUAUUUCGGUAUGUAAAGCUCUAUCAGCAGGAAAGAAGAAAGACGGUACCUGACUAAGAAGCCCCGGCUAACUACGUGCCAGCAGCCGAGGUAAUCUGAGCGGGCUGGCAAGGC
rnacentral:rRNA from 1 species